AGCACCCUCUCAGGUGCGUGAUGCAAACGAAGUUUUGUUCCAACAGCUUCUACCUAGGGAGUCGAUUGCUCGACUGGAUACGCAUGGGUUUUUAGUUGGAUAAACUGAAAUAUCUAGUGCUGAAAUGUUGAGAUAGACACCCACCUGCGCUUGCAGGUUCGAAACCUAGUGGCACACGGCCUGGUAGGGUGUUC
rnacentral:other from 1 species